AACGAACGCUGGCGGCAGGCCUAACACAUGCAAGUCGAACGCCGUAGCAAUACGGAGUGGCAGACGGGUGAGUAACGCGUGGGAACCUUCCCUAUGGUUCGGAAUAGCUCAGGGAGACCUGGGGUAAUACCGGAUAAGCCCUUCGGGGGAAAGAUUUAUCGCCAUUGGAUGGGCCCGCGUCGGAUUAGCUAGUUGGUGAGGUAACGGCUCACCAAGGCGACGAUCCGUAGCUGGUCUGAGAGGAUGAUCAGCCACACUGGGACUGAGUCACGGCCCAGACUCCUACGGGAGGCAGCAGUGGGGAAUAUUGGACAAUGGGCGCAAGCCUGAUCCAGCCAUGCCGCGUGAGUGAUGAAGGCCUUAGGGUUGUAAAGCUCUUUCACCGGAGAAGAUAAUGACGGUAUCCGGAGAAGAAGCCCCGGCUAACUUCGUGCCAGCCGCCGCGGUAAAAC
rnacentral:rRNA from 1 species